GUCUGUAGCUGGGAUAGGGAUAAGGCUGGGACAGAUACAUGGUCUUGGGCUGGGAUGGGGACAAGGCUGGGACAGAUACAGAGUAUAGCUGGGAUGGGGAUAAGGCUGGGACAGAUACAGAGUCUUGGGCUGGGGGGGGACAAGGCUGGGACAGAUACAGAGUAUAUAGCUGGGAUGAGGAUACGGCUGGGACAGAUACAGAGCUGAGUCUGGGAUGGGGAUAAGAUUGGGAGAGAUACAGAGCUGAGUCUGGGAUGGAGAUAAGGCUGGGACUGAUUCAGAGUCUGGGGCUGGGAUUGGGAUGGAGAUAAGGCUGGGACAGAUACAGAGUCUUGGGCUGGGAUGGGGACAAGGCUGGGACAGAUACAGAGUCUUGGGCUGGGGGGGACAAGGCUGGGACAGAUACAGAGUCUAUAGCUGGGAUGAGGAUACGGCUGGGACAGAUACAGAUUCUGGUGCUGGGAUGGAGAUAAGGCUGGGACAGAUACAGAGCUGAGUCUGGGAUGGGGCAAGAUUGGGACAGAUAGAGAGCUGAGUCUGGGAUGGGGAUAAGAUUGGGACAGAUAAAGAGCUGAGUCUGGGAUGGGGGUAAGAUUGGGACUGAUACAGAGUCUGGGGCUGGGAUGGAGAUAAGGCUGGGACAGAUACAGAGCUGAGUCUGGGAUGGGGAUAAGAUUGGGACAGAUAGAGAGCUGAGUCUGGGAUGGGGAUAAGAUUGGGACAGAUACAGAGCUGAGUCUGGGAUGGGGACAAGAUUGGGACUGAUACAGAGUCUGGGGCUGGGAUGGAGAUAAGGCUGGGACAGAUACAGAGCUGAGUCUGGGAUGGGGAUAAGGCUGGGACUGAUUCAGAGUCUGGGGCUGGGAUGGAGAUAAGGCUGGGACAGAUACAGAGCUGAGCCUGGGAUGGGGAUAAGGCUGAGACAGAUACAGAGUCUGGGGCUGGGAUGGGGAUAAGGCUGGGACAGAUACAGAGCUGAGUCUGGGAUGGGGAUAAGGCUGAGACAGAUACAGAGUCUGGGGCUGGGAUGGGGUUAAGGCUGGGACAGAUACAGAGUCUUGGGCUGGGAUGGGG
ensembl:lncRNA